GACGAACGCUGGCGGCGUGCUUAACACAUGCAAGUCGAGCGGAGCGGCGAACGGGUGAGUAACGCGCGAGUAACUGCCCCCCUCUCUGGGAUAACAGUUGGAAACGGCUGCUAAUACCGGUUAGUGGGGGAUGAGGUGCGUCCUACCAGCUUGUUGGUGGGGUAGUGGUCUACCAAGGCGACGACGGGUGGCCGGCCUGGGAGGGCGACCGGCCACAUAUGGCUGAGAUACGGCCCAAAGUCCUACGGGAGGCAGCGGUGGGGAAUAUUGCACGAAGGGGGAAACCCUGGUGCAGCAACGCGCGUGCGAGAUGACGGCCGUCGGGUUGUAAACCGCUUUCAGCCAUGACGCGGUAGUGGCAGAAGAAGCACCGGCUAACUACGUGCCAGCAGCCGCGGUAAUAC
rnacentral:rRNA from 1 species